rnacentral:rRNA from 1 species
CCCUUAGAGUUUGAUCCUGGCUCAGGACGAACGCUGGCGGCGUGCUUAACACAUGCAAGUCGAGCGGAAAGGCCCCUUCGGGGGUACUCGAGCGGCGAACGGGUGAGUAACACGUGGGUAAUUUACCCCUGACAUCGGGAUACUCCGGGGAAACCCGGCCCAAUACCGAAUAAGGUGCGGAGACGCAGGUCGCCGUACCAAAGGUAGCUUCGGCCUCCGGUCAGGGAUGAGCCCGCGGCCCAUUAGCUUGUUGGCGGGGUAACGGCCCACCAAGGCUACGAUGGGUAGCUGGUCUGAGAGGACGAUCAGCCACACUGGGACUGAGACACGGCCCAGACUCCUACGGGAGGCAGCAGUGGGGAAUCUUGCGCAAUGGGCGGAAGCCUGACGCAGCAACGCCGCGUGCGGGAAGAAGGCCUUCGGGUCGUAAACCGCUUUCAGGGGGGACGAAGCUUCCGGGGUUAAUAGCCCACGGGGUGACGGUACCCUCAGAAGAAGGACCGGCUAACUACGUGCCAGCAGCCGCGGUGAUACGUAGGGUCCUAGCGUUGUCCGGAAUCAUUGGGCGUAAAGAGCGUGUAGGCGGCUUGGUAGGUCCCGUGUUAAAGCCUGCGGCUCAACCGCAGAAUCGCACGGGAAACCAUCUGGCUCGAGUCCGGAAGAGGAGAGCGGAAUUCCUGGUGUAGCGGUGAAAUGCGCAGAUAU